rnacentral:rRNA from 1 species
UGCCAGCCGCCGCGGUAAUACGGAGGGUCCAAGCGUUAUCCGGAAUCAUUGGGUUUAAAGGGUCCGUAGGCGGGCUAUUAAGUCAGAGGUGAAAGUUUGCAGCUCAACUGUAAAAUUGCCUUUGAAACUGGUAGUCUUGAAUUAUUAUGAAGUGGUUAGAAUAAGUAGUGUAGCGGUGAAAUGCAUAGAUAUUACUUAGAAUACCAAUUGCGAAGGCAGAUCACUAAUAAUAUAUUGACGCUGAGGGACGAAAGCGUGGGGAGCGAACAGGAUUAGAUA